rnacentral:lncRNA from 1 species
AGGGCUGCUUGGAGGAGGGAAGAUUCUGUCCUGCUGCGGGCCCUGCUGUGCAACUCAACUCAUGACCGAUCCUGCAGAUCACAGGAGACCCUGCAGUGCUGGAAGAACCCAGAGCUCAGGGCAAAGGGGAGCUUCGAGCGCUCCUAAAAUAUAGGUCUUCGCCUAUCAUUUUAAAAUGAGGUUUCUUUUCUUCUCCCCAGCUUCUGCUUUCUCCUAGGUAUGGGGCUGCAGGGAGGGACCCUGGAUCAUUGACUGGGCCUCACCAUCUGGAGAAAAGAUUCUGGAGAAGUUGUCUCUGGA